rnacentral:siRNA from 1 species
GGCGGUUACGGUUGCGGCGGU